GACGAACCGUGCGAACGUUGUUCGGAAUCACUGGGCUUAAAGGGCGCGUAGGCGGGCGAUCAAGUCGGGGGUGAAAUCUUUCGGCUCAACCGGAAAAUAGCCUUCGAUACUGGUCGUCUGGAGGGAGGUAGGGGCGUGUGGAACUUCCGGUGGAGCGGUGAAAUGCGUUGAUAUCGGAAGGAACUCCGGUGGCGAAAGCGACACGCUGGAUCUCACCUGACGCUGAGGCGCGGAAAGCCAGGGGAGCGAACGGG
rnacentral:rRNA from 1 species